UCAGGUGAUCACUCUCCUUCUCCUCCUCCACUCCUCCGGUCGUCUGGAUCAAAACAACACGCCACAUUAGAUCCACAUCACAUGACCAUGCAGGCUACAGGGCUCCAUUCUGCUCCUGUGAUGUCAUCAAGCCGCGACGUUCACACAGUUGGAGCCUGAAGGACUCGGACAUGUUCCUACGAGUCUGCCUCGCAGAGCACCGCCCUCUGAAUCCAGCUCCGCCCUCAGACGCGAGUAUUCAGCUCUCUGAUUGGCCAGCUCCUCCAUGAGCUCCUUACACCUGUUCUCACUGAUGAAUAGUGGAGGAGGAGG